GACGGAGGGUGCUAGCGUUGUUCGGAAUGACUGGGCGUAAAGGGCGCGUAGGCGGCUCGUGAAGUCGGGUGUGAAAGCCCCGGGGCUCAACCCCCGGAACGGCAUCCGAUACUGGCGGGCUUGAGACCCGGGAGAGGAGGGUGGAAUACCCCAGUGUAGAGGUGAAAUUCGUAGAUAUUGGGUGGAACACCGGUGGCGAAAGCGGCUCUCUGGCCCGGAUCUGACGCUGAGGCGCGAAAGCGUGGGGAGCAAACAGG
rnacentral:rRNA from 1 species